CAAUAAACUAAAGGGACAAAUUUAAACAAGAAUCUCUUAGUAGAGUUUAGUGAAUCAAAUUCAGUUCCUAAGAUACCUAUUAUUACAAAUUACUUAUCAUAUUUUACAGUUAGAAUUGAAAAUCUGUUAAAGGACCAUAAAGGUGUACUAUUUUGUGUAAAGCAGCAGCAGAGGAAUUCCUAUUUCCUAAUUAACGUUUGAUGUCAUGAGCAAAGAUUCAUUAACAGGCCUCCAUUUGGUCCUACCCAUUCAUUUUUGUCAGCCCAUGCUUAAAAACCACGGACAACUUGAGGUAAUGAAUGAAAGAAAGAAAGAAA